GCUUACGGCCAUACCAACCUGGCUAUGCCCGAUCUCGUCUAAUCUCGGAAGCUAAGCAGGUUUGGGCCUGGUUAGUACUUGGAUGGGAGACCGCCUGGGAAUACCAGGUGCUGUAAGCU
ensembl:rRNA 5S_rRNA 5S ribosomal RNA